UUAGGUUAAGUUAGAAAGGGCGCACGGUGGAUGCCUUGGCACUAGGAGCCGAUGAAGGACGGGACUAACACCGAUAUGCUUCGGGGAGCUGUAAGUAAGCUUUGAUCCGGAGAUUUCCGAAUGGGGGAACCCACUGCUCGUAAUGGAGUAGUAUCUUUACCUGAAUACAUAGGGUAUUGAAGGCAUACCCGGGGAACUGAAACAUCUAAGUACCCGGAGGAAGAGAAAGCAAACGCGAUUCCCUGAGUAGCGGCGAGCGAAACGGGACAUAGCCCAAACCAAGAGGCUUGCCUC
rnacentral:rRNA from 1 species